AUGAACGCUAGCGGCAGGCUUAACACAUGCAAGUCGAGGGGCAGCAUAAUGGUAGCAAUACUAUUGAUGGCGACCGGCGGACGGGUGCGUAACGCGUAUGCAACCUACCCUUUACAGGGGGAUAACACUGAGAAAUCGGUACUAAUACCCCAUAAUAUUCUGGGAGGCAUCUUUCGGAGUUGAAAGCUUUGGUGGUAAAGGAUGGGCAUGCGUUGUAUUAGCUAGUUGGUAAGGUAACGGCUUACCAAGGCGACGAUACAUAGGGGGACUGAGAGGUUAACCCCCCACAUUGGUACUGAGACACGGACCAAACUCCUACGGGAGGCAGCAGUGAGGAAUAUUGGUCAAUGGACGGAAGUCUGAACCAGCCAUGCCGCGUGCAGGAAGACGGCUCUAUGAGUUGUAAACUGCUUUUGUACGAGGGUAAACGCAGAUACGCGUAUCUGCCUGAAAGUAUCGUACGAAUAAGGAUCGGCUAACUCCGUGCCAGCAGCCGCGGUAAUACGGAGGAUCCAAGCGUUAUCCGGAUUUAUUGGGUUUAAAGGGUGCGUAGGCGGUUUAGUAAGUCAGCGGUGAAAUUUUGGUGCUUAACACCAAACGUGCCGUUGAUACUGCUGGGCUAGAGAGUAGUUGCGGUAGGCGGAAUGUAUGGUGUAGCGGUGAAAUGCUUAGAGAUCAUACAGAACACCGAUUGCGAAGGCAGCUUACCAAACUAUAUCUGACGUUGAGGCACGAAAGCGUGGGGAGCAAACAGGAUUAGAUACCCUGGUAGUCCACGCAGUAAACGAUGAUAGCUCGUUGUCGGCGAUACACAGUCGGUGACUAAGAGAAAUCGAUAAGCUAUCCACCUGGGGAGUACGUUCGCAAGAAUGAAACUCAAAGGAAUUGACGGGGGCCCGCACAAGCGGAGGAACAUGUGGUUUAAUUCGAUGAUACGCGAGGAACCUUACCCGGGCUUGAAAGUUACUGACGAUUCUGGAAACAGGAUUUCCCUUCGGGGCAGGAAACUAGGUGCUGCAUGGUUGUCGUCAGCUCGUGCCGUGAGGUGUCGGGUUAAGUCCCGCAACGAGCGCAACCCUUAUCUUUAGUAGCCAGCGGUUUGGCCGGGCACUCUAGAGAGACUGCCAGGGAUAACCUGGAGGAAGGUGGGGAUGACGUCAAAUCAGCACGGCCCUUACGUCCGGGGCGACACACGUGUUACAAUGGUAGGUACAGAGGGCAGCCACCCAGUGAUGGGGAGCGAAUCUCGAAAGCCUAUCUCAGUUCGGAUUGGAGGCUGAAACUCGCCUCCAUGAAGUUGGAUUCGCUAGUAAUCGCGCAUCAGCCAUGGCGCGGUGAAUACGUUCCCGGGCCUUGUACACACCGCCCGUCAAGCCAUGGGAGUUGGGGGUGCCUGAAGUUCGUGACCGAAAGGAGCGACCUAGGGCAAAACCGAUGACUGGGGCU
rnacentral:rRNA from 1 species